CUAUCUUCAAAAACAGCUGAUCCUGCCGAACACUCUAUUGGACACUAGUUGCUUCUCUCGCUACUUAGUACUUCUGCUUUCUGCUUCAAAGUGCUAUAUAGGAAUUAGGAGAUGAAUUUGUGCACUGAUAAAUAAUGGAGAGGCUUAAAGUACUUUUUAUUACAAAUAUAUUCUUAUUAUUGCAAUACAAACAUUAAACAAAACACAUAUGGAAUUACAAAAAUAUUGAGGUUUUAUGUAUAAAAAAUUUUAGUGAGUGAAAAGCUGAGAAUCAUUAAAAUAUAGAGUAAGUUAUACAAAAAUAUUGCAUUUUAAUAAAAAAAAAUCUUUUUUAUCGCGGGCACAUGACGCUUCGUCCACCGUCAACG